AUAACAAUACAGGACUCUUUCGAGGCCCUGUAAUUGUAAUGAGUACACUUUAAAUCCUUUAAUGAGGAUCUAUUGGAGGGCAAGUCUGGUGCAGGGCGACUGACCCGUGCGUGCUGCAGCUGAAACUCCACUAUCGCCUGCUGCUGCUUGCACAGUCACUCCAG